CCUACGGGUGGCAGCAGUGGGGAAUAUUGGACAAUGGGCGAAAGCCUGAUCCAGCCAUGCCGCGUGUGUGAAGAAGGCCUUCGGGUUGUAAAGCACUUUCAGUGGGGAAGAAAGCCUUGGGGCUAAUACCCUCGAGGAAGGACAUCACCCACAGAAGAAGCACCGGCUAACUCCGUGCCAGCAGCCGCGGUAAUACGGAGGGUGCGAGCGUUAAUCGGAAUUACUGGGCGUAAAGCGCGCGUAGGCGGUCUGAUAAGCCGGUUGUGAAAGCCCCGGGCUCAACCUGGGAACGGCAUCCGGAACUGUCAGGCUAGAGUGCAGGAGAGGAAGGUAGAAUUCCCGGUGUAGCGGUGAAAUGCGUAGAGAUCGGGAGGAAUACCAGUGGCGAAGGCGGCCUUCUGGACUGACACUGACACUGAGGUGCGAAAGCGUGGGUAGCAAACAGGAUUAGAUACCCUAGUAGUC
rnacentral:rRNA from 1 species